AACGAACGCUGGCGGCAGGCUUAACACAUGCAAGUCGAACGGGUGUAGCAAUACAUCAGUGGCAGACGGGUGAGUAACACGUGGGAACCUUCCUAGGGGUACGGAACAACUCAGGGAAACUCGAGCUAAUACCGUAUACGUCCGUGAGGAGAAAGAUUUAUCGCCCUUAGACGGGCCCGCGUCGGAUUAGGUAGUUGGUGGGGUAACGGCCUACCAAGCCUACGAUCCGUAGCUGAUCUUAGAGGAUGAUCAGCCACACUGGGACUGAGACACGGCCCAGACUCCUACGGGAGGCAGCAGUGGGGAAUCUUGGACAAUGGGCGCAAGCCUGAUCCAGCCAUGCCGCGUGAGUGAAGAAGGCCUUAGGGUUGUAAAGCUCUUUUACCAGGGACGAUAAUGACGGUACCUGGAGAAUAAGCCCCGGCAAACUUCGUGCCAGCCGCCGCCGUAAGAC
rnacentral:rRNA from 1 species